AUUAAAUGUUGUGUUGGGGGCAAAAAGGACCAAGUAACAGGAUUCUGUGUAGGAGGACCAAAUGGUGGCUUUUGUGUAGCGGCCCCUCCCGGGCUACUUUCCCCAACUUCAAACCCCUCCGGCUGGACAGGACCACUCCAGGAUCGAGGUUGAGGAGAUCGCUUCUGGAGGAUUCCUGAGAGGACAUAGAGGGCAGCUGCACAGAAGGAGAAGGUCUGGAUGGGCUUUAAUCUUGACCAGAGUACCAGUGUGCUCUCUUGUAUGUAAGAAAACAGAAACACCCAACCUCCAGAGUCCUCUACUUGCCAGGACACACGUGCUCAGGUGUUGGACUUCCUUUGAAUUUACUUCUCUCUUCACAAACAGUUUCUCCAGUAAAGUGGUGGCUCCUUGAAGGCAAGGCCUGUUUCUUUUCUAUCAUCAUGCCUCCUGUGCUGAGCACAGUGUCUGACAGUUCAAACCAUAGGUGGUCAGUAGAUGCUGAUUGAAAUAAACAGCAUUUGAACCCAAGUCUCCAGACUACAUUUCAGCUGCUCUCUCUAACACACCAGCAGGCUUCUCUCCACCAUCUUUGGAAGCUCUCAGUUACAGACCAAUGGAUGCUGAGGCUCUUAUUCAAAUAUCUGACAACUCCAGGUGAAAGCCUGUGACAUUAUUCCUCAUGGCGCAGGCAGCAUCCACCAGAAAUGCCCCCUGCUGACUCAACCAAGCCUUCUGCUCUGCCCUGAGUAUUCCCUGAGACGGGAUCGGAUCACCACUUAUCAGAGCACAGGGACAAGAGUCUCACAAGUCAGGAAAGCACACAUGGCCUACCAUCAUUGUUGUUGUGAGGAAUAGUGACAUCCAUGAGAUCACAGGCCAAUUGGAGUAAACUGGGAAUGAUAAUAACUGUAGAAGCUGUUAGGAGUAAAGGACAUCACUCCUAUAAAGUAUAGCACAGAGCCUGAUGCUUAUUAACUUCAUGAAUGGCUCUAUUCUGGGCACUUGGAUGCAAACAUAAAAGUGAAAUCAUCCCUGACCUCAAGGAGCUUGCAUUCUAUUGAA